ensembl:lncRNA
CAGUAUCACCAGUGCUCCCAGUAUCACCAGUACCACCACCAGUAUCACCAGUACUUCCAGUAUCCCCAGUGCCACCAGUGCCACCAGUAUGACCAGUACAACCCAGUACAACCCAGCGCCACCAGUGCUCCCAGUAUCACCAGUACCACCAGUAUCAGCACCAGUACCACCAGUACUCCCAGUACCACCAGUGCUCCCAGUAUCACCAGUAUCACCAGUGCUCCCAGUGUCUCCAGAGCUCCCAGUAUCACCAGUACCACCAGUAUGACCAGUACAACCCAGUACCACCAGUGUCAGCAGUAUCACCAGUGCUCCCAGUAUCACCAGUGCUCCCAGUAUCACCAGUGCCACCAGUAUGACCAGUACAACCCAGUACAGCCCAGUGCCACCAUGCCACCAGUAUGACCAGUACAACCCAGUACAGCCCAGUGCCACCAGUACCACCAGUACCACCAGU